rnacentral:rRNA from 1 species
CAAGUCGAACGAGAAAGUGGAGCAAUCCAUGAGUAAAGUGGCGCACGGGUGAGUAACACGUGACUAACCUACCCUGGAGUGGGGGAUAACUGAGGGAAACCUUAGCUAAUACCGCAUAAUACCUACGGGUCAAAGGAGCAAUUCGCUUCAGGAGGGGGUCGCGGCCGAUUAGUUAGUUGGCGGGGUAAUGGCCCACCAAGACAGUGAUCGGUAUCCGGCCUGAGAGGGCGCACGGACACACUGGAACUGAAACACGGUCCAGACUCCUACGGGAGGCAGCAGUGGGGAAUUUUGCGCAAUGGGGGAAACCCUGACGCAGCAACGCCGCGUGGAGGAUGAAGUCCUUCGGGACGUAAACUCCUUUCGAUCGGGACGAUUAUGACGGUACCGGAAGAAGAAGCCCCGGCUAACUUCGUGCCAGCAGCCGCGGUAAUACGAGGGGGGCGAGCGUUGUUCGGAAUUAUUGGGCGUAAAGGGUGCGUAGGCGGUUUUGUAAGUCUUAUGUGAAAUCUAUGGGCUCAACUCAUAGACUGCAUGAGAAACUGCAGGGCUUGAGUAUGGGAGAGGUGAGUGGAAUUCCUGGUGUAGCGGUGAAAUGCGUAGAUAUCAGGAGGAACACCUGUGGCGAAAGCGGCUCACUGGACCAUAACUGACGCUGAUGCACGAAAGCUAGGGGAGCAAACAGGAUUAGAUACCCUGGUAGUCCUAGCCCUAAACGAUGACUGCUUGGUGUGACGGGUACCCAAUCCCGCCGUGCCGUAGCUAACGCGUUAAGCAGUCCGCCUGGGGAGUACGGUCGCAAGGCUGAAACUCAAAGGAAUUGACGGGGGCCCGCACAAGCGGUGGA